AUAGACAAUGGGUUCUAUACAUCAAGCAAACAAAAAAGUAGUAUUGUCGAGUUUCAUGAUAAAAUAUCUGACUCCAUUCUCACCAAAAGGUAGAGGCCCAAAUCCCCACUGACAUACCACUUUUGAAGGAAAAGAGCCGGGGCUUAAUUGGUUAGCGCUUGAUGAUUUGCAACGCUACGUCCUAGGCUCAAUUCCUAGAAAGGGUAUGUGACCUCUCCCAAUUGUCUCACCCAAAAGAAACAAAAAACAAGAGCACCUAAUCGAGGUGGUAAUUAACUAUGGGAAAGGUUUAUAUAAGGUUGCUACCUUCAAUUGUAAAAUUAAGGUGCACAUAAAAAAUUCAUCGGAAAAGGCUAUAUGAAUGUUGGGAAACCCUCUAAUUUCUCAUCUCAAUAUCAUGAUCUAUGGAAAUGGAAG
rnacentral:lncRNA from 1 species